CGUGUAGGCGGCUUGGCAAGUCGGAUGUGAAAUCCCGGGGCCCAACCCCGGAACUGCAUUCGAAACUGCCUGGCUAGAGUCCCGGAGAGGAAGGCGGAAUUCCCGGUGUAGAGGUGAAAUUCGUAGAUAUUGGGAGGAACACCAGUGGCGAAGGCGGCCUUCUGGACGGUGACUGACGCUGAGACGCGAAAGCGUGGGGAGCAAACAGGAUUAGAUACCCUGGUAGUCC
rnacentral:rRNA from 1 species